CACUUGCAUGACGUCUCUCCGCCUCCUUUCGGGCCUGCAAGGAGGAGAAAGAAGGUCAUAUACCACCACACCAACAGGAAGCGAAUGGACAGAGGGCUGUUAGGAUGUAUGCGGUGCUCAAGGCUCUGAGAACCACUGAGGGACAACACGUUGGAAGACCAAGACUGAUGCAGAGAAGACAAGCACUUGAUGCCUGGUCCCGGAUCUGCUGCAAUGAUUCACUGGGAGUCAUUACUCCCAAACUUUAAGAUAGUCGAUGGAAUUUUUUGUUGUAAGAGGUUCUGGAGCUGGGGAACUAGUACGUAAACACAUGAAGAAGAUGAGAAGGGAUUAGUCAAUAAUCCGAUAUCAUAGUACUCUAAGCCUGCGUUCGCCUGUUGAGAAAGCUGGUGGCUACGGAAUAAAGGUGGAAAGCCAGCAAGCCACUAGAGGCAAGGGGUGCACCGGUCAUUGUCGUCUCAGUCCCUGGAAGUCUGCACUGAGAGAGAGGAGACCAGCCACAAGUGGCUACAUCCUGGGCAUUCAGAGAAACCAUCCUACUGCUCUGGAGGACACCGAUUCAAUUGCGUAGAGCAGAGAUGUUGACAU
rnacentral:lncRNA from 1 species